rnacentral:rRNA from 1 species
CCUACGGGGGGCAGCAGUGAGGAAUAUUGGUCAAUGGGCGCGAGCCUGAACCAGCCAAGUCGCGUGAGGGAUGAAGGUUCUAUGGAUUGUAAACUUCUUUUAUAAGGGAAUAAAGUGUGGGAUGUGUACUAUUUUGUAUGUACCUUAUGAAUAAGGAUCGGCUAACUCCGUGCCAGCAGCCGCGGUAAUACGGAGGAUCCGAGCGUUAUCCGGAUUUAUUGGGUUUAAAGGGUGCGUAGGCGGCGUUUUAAGUCAGUGGUGAAAGUUUGGGGCUCAACCGUAGAAUUGCCGUUGAUACUGGCAGCCUUGAGUGUAUUAGAGGCAGGCGGAAUGCGUGGUGUAGCGGUGAAAUGCUUAGAUAUCACGCAGAACUCCGAUUGCGAAGGCAGCCUGC